rnacentral:rRNA from 1 species
UACAGAGGCCUCAAGCGUUAGGCGGAAUCACUGGGCUUAAAGCGUGUGUAGGUGGAUGCCUAAGUGUUUUGUGAAAUCCCACGGCUUAACCAUGGAAUUGCUUGACAUACUGGGCGUCUUGAGCCACUCAGGGGCUACCGGAACAAACGGUGGAGCGGUGAAAUGCGUAGAUAUCGUUUGGAACGCCAAUGGUGAAAACAGGUAGCUGGGGGUGUGCUGACACUGAGACACGAAAGCCAGGGGAGCGAACGGG